rnacentral:rRNA from 1 species
UACGAAGGGGGCGAGCGUUGUUCGGAUUUACUGGGCGUAAAGGGCUCGUAGGCGGCCAACUAAGUCAUACGUGAAAUCCCUCAGCUUAACUGGGGAACUGCGUGUGAUACUGGAUGGCUUGGAUUUGGGAGAGGGAUGCGGAAUUCCAGGUGUAGCGGUGAAAUGCGUAGAUAUCUGGAGGAACACCGGUGGCGAAGGCGGCAUCCUGGACCAAUAUUGACGCUGAGGAGCGAAAGCCAGGGGAGCAAACGGG